rnacentral:rRNA from 1 species
UACGGAGGGUGCAAGCGUUAUCCGGAUUCACUGGGUUUAAAGGGUGCGUAGGUGGGCAAGUAAGUCAGUGGUGAAAUCUCCGGGCUUAACCCGGAAACUGCCAUUGAUACUAUUUGUCUUGAAUAUCCUGGAGGUGAGCGGAAUAUGUCAUGUAGCGGUGAAAUGCUUAGAUAUGACAUAGAACACCCAUUGCGAAGGCAGCUCACUACGGGAACAUUGACACUGAGGCACGAAAGCGUGGGGAGCAAACAGG